CACGUAGGCGGACUCUUAAGUCAGGGGUGAAAUCCUGGAGCUCAACUCCAGAACUGCCUUUGAUACUGGGAGUCUUGAGUUCGGGAGAGGUGAGUGGAACUGCGAGUGUAGGGGUGAAAUUCGUAGAUAUUCGCAAGAACACCAGUGGCGAAGGCGGCUCACUGGCCCGAUACUGACGCUGAGGUGCGAAAGCGUGGGGAGCAGACA
rnacentral:rRNA from 1 species